UGAGGAAUAUUGGUCAAUGGACGCAAGUCUGAACCAGCCAAGUAGCGUGCAGGAUGACGGCCCUAUGGGUUGUAAACUGCUUUUAUAUGGGGAUAAAGUGGGGAACGUGUUCCCUUUUGCAGGUACCAUAUGAACAAGGACCGGCUAAUUCCGUGCCAGCAGCCGCGGUAAUACGGAAGGUUCGGGCGUUAUCCGGAUUUAUUGGGUUUAAAGGGAGCGUAGGCCGUUUGGUAAGCGUGUUGUGAAAUGUAGGAGCUCAACUUCUAGAUUGCAGCGCGAACUGUCAGACUUGAGUGCGCACAACGUAGGCGGAAUUCAUGGUGUAGCGGUGAAAUGCUUAGAUAUCAUGAAGAACUCCGAUUGCGAAGGCAGCUUACGGGAGCGCAACUGACGCUGAAGCUCGAAGGUGCGGGUAUCGAACAGG
rnacentral:rRNA from 1 species